CAUUAGAAACGGUAAGUGAAUUGAUCAUAUACAGUAGUAUAGUCUAUUGUAUGCUAAUAUCUAUAGUUGUGUAGGAAUGUCUAGAGUGUUGGUAUAGUAUAGUUUUAUCUGCAAUGGUAUCGUAGUCUCUACAGUUGUAUAGUGUUAUUAUGGUAGAACCUACAUUUGUGCAUAUCAUACAGCAUUAUCUUUAAUAUUAUAAUAAUGUAAAGAGUGGGAUAGUGUUAGAAUGACAGAGUACCCAUAACUAUUGUCAUAUUGUUAUUAUACUAGUAUUUACAGUGCUACAGUGUUAGUAUAGUUGUAUCCAUAGCGGUAUAGAGUUAGUGUACUAGUAUAGACAGUUGUAUGAUUUUAGUAUGUGCUAGUAUAAGGGUGAAAUUACCUGUUAAGAUUAAUAUGAUCUUUUAUUGUUUCAUCCAGAGCCUGACAAAUCGGUUCCUCCUCCCUCACCCAUUAGAAAUGACCCUGACAAACCAGUUUCUACUGCUUCAUCCAAUAUAGAACACCCUGACAAACCAGUUUCUACUGCUUCAUCCAAUAUAGAACCUACAAGUCAUCCAGCUCAACAAGAUUACAUGCAGGAAACGGUGUUUCAACCAGAACCUGUUUCUACUCCCGAACCUGUUUCUACUGCCUCACCCGAUAUAGAAUCUACAAGUCCUCCAGCUCAACAGGAUUACACAGAGGAAUCAGAGUCUGACAAGACAGAUUCUCCUGCCGCAUCCAUUAUGGUCCAAAUGGAGCAGAUGUGUAUUGCAUCACAUACCUGAAGAAUCCAAUAACUGUAAAAGUCAUUAAAGUGUAUGAACAUCCAAAAGCUAGAGCCAAAAGUUUUCAAUCAGUUGUUACUCUUCCAGUGGAGAGUAUUUGAUAGUAACUGAAAUGUAUGUUAUGAUAAGUUAUGAUCACUAAUUACACUGUAGGAGAAUUAGAUUUUCUGUUUUUAUUGCAGUUUUACCCUACAGGAGAACAUCGUUCAUUUUUAAAAAUACACAUUAAAGGAGAUUUU